CUCGACCACAGAAGAAAACAGCCCGGGUCGCUGGCAGGGGAAGCGGCAAAGAUUGGUUCCCAGAAAUAAAUGCAAUUGUCUGUGCGGCGAGGAGCACAAAGCAGACGGCCCAGGCGGCGGUGUGGAAGCUGGCACCUCGCUCUCCUGCAGAAGCAUCUACCUGGAGGCCAGCAGGAGCAGGGAAGGAUGCUGAGAGAUGCUGAGAGAUGCUGAGCCACAGAGGCAGAGCUGGCGCGGUCCGGAGAUGGGACUGAUGGCGGGGGGAGGGAGCCGAGCCUGAAAUAUCUCAGACACAACAGCGAGUCAGCAGCCUUGGGCCCUGCUCUGUCUUCAAUGAACAUUUUGUGUGAGCAGGGUCAAGCAGACGCGAGGAGCCAGGAGGGAACAGCACAGCGCGCACGGGUUUGGCGCCCGGCCACUUAAAGGCAGAGGGUUUCCUCUUAUGUUUGGGAAGGAAGUAGAUGGCUUCUUGGAAGCUUUUUUCAGUGCUUGAUUUUUUUUAUUGCAGUACAAGCAAUGAACAUUUUGGAAGGAGAGGUUGCAGGGUGGGGGUGUGAUAAGAAGGCAAUUAAUGACAGCCAGUGUCAUUUCUGAUCUGGAGGUAUCCUUUCAAGGACAUGUGUUUAAUACCAAGGACCACACUUAAUGCCUUAAAUGCAAUCAUCCUCUCUGUGCAAUUAGGGCCUGGUUUACAGCCCUUAAGUGCAAGCUUCAGUUUAUGUAGGUGCUUAAGAGUUUUUGUUUUUCUCUCCCCUAGGGCCUCUGAAGCCAUUUCUCCUGCCUGGAGUGCAGAGCACUCUGUAGAGACAGGGAAGUGUCCUUAUCCCCGCUGGCAGAAAGCAGAGAGGUGGCACUUGGGAGGAAGGACUGCAGCCAAGGAAAAAGUGAAGAUGAACCCAUGCGGUGCAUGAGAAGCCCCUGAAAAUGAGUUUUCAUCAGGACAAAGAUGCAAAGAGCGGACUCAUCCAAGGACUUCAUCUUCCUUUUCUGCCCCUUGGAGAAGACUGUGAAGAGGAUAUCAUCCUCAGGUCCUACACCCAAAGACCUCGCCAAAAUGGCUCCAGCCUUGGACAAGUAGGCCGCCUGGAGCAACCGCCCUGCAGAGUCAGCACAGCUGCAGGACAAGAAAAUGGGAACUGCCAUGACCCCGAGACUGAAGAGGCAACCAACAGCCCCUCUUCUGCAACAGGAGCUGUCUGCCCGAAGACUAUGACAGAGCCCGAGACUUGAAUUAUAACAACAGGAGGAAAUAUCCCUUUUAAAAUUGGCAGUCAACUCAGCUUAAGAGGAGAUGCACUCCAGAUGUGAAAUCUUUGAGGCCCAACCAGGAACGGCUGCCCCUCUGCUCUGCUGGACUCUUCACAUGCAGCAGCUGUGCUGAGGGGAUGCAAUGGGUCAUAACAAUGCCCUUCAAGUUUUAUUUUGAGAUUGGGUCUCCCAGCUGAAUAUCUUCAUCUCCCCACUGCAUGAAAGAGCAGAGAAAUUGCCUCCUUCUUUAACCAUGGCUAGGGAAGUGAUGCUACAAAACUUUCAUGACAUUCAACAGUCCUGAAGGAAGAUACCAUUCUUUUAUCCAGAAGAGGAGCUACACCAGGUCUGAACCUAGACUGGACAUGAAGGUGGCACCAAGGAAGCCUCCUCCCAAAUCCAUCCGAUUCAUACAAGGCUCCAUCCAUGCUCAGCACCAGGUAUAUCAGAGGAUGGUUUCUGAGUCAGCUGUCAUGUAAAGUCUCACACCACCCUCUUGCAUGUAGAACUAGGGUCUCCACUCAAUGGAUUGCAAAUGACACAUUGCCCGUAAGACUCCUUGUUUUUGCACAAUUUGGUUUAAAAACUUGUUUCUUCCUCAAGGACAGCAAGUUAUGGUGCCACCCUACAGGACUGUUACUUGAUUACUGUUGUUGACCAUUUCCAGCAAAUGUUGGAGGCCACUGACUUAGAGGACGCAGGUUGGUCUUGCUCUGAGCCCUCUAGGAAAUGAUCCCAAGACUCUAUGACAUGCAACCCUAUGGGCACUGGACAAGAAAAAAGGGUGCAAAAAAGCCUAAGGGGAAG